UGGGGAAUUUUGGACAAUGGGCGCAAGCCUGAUCCAGCCAUGCCGCGUGCGGGAAGAAGGCCUUCGGGUUGUAAACCGCUUUUGUCAGGGAAGAAAUCUUCUGAGUUAAUACCUCGGGAGGAUGACGGUACCUGAAGAAUAAGCACCGGCUAACUACGUGCCAGCAGCCGCGGUAAUACGUAGGGUGCAAGCGUUAAUCGGAAUUACUGGGCGUAAAGCGUGCGCAGGCGGUUUUGUAAGACAGAGGUGAAAUCCCCGGGCUCAACCUGGGAACUGCCUUUGUGACUGCAAGGCUUGAGUGCGGCAGAGGGGGAUGGAAUUCCGCGUGUAGCAGUGAAAUGCGUAGAUAUGCGGAGGAACACCGAUGGCGAAGGCAAUCCCCUGGGCCUGCACUGACGCUCAUGCACGAAAGCGUGGGGAGCAAACAGGAUUAGAUACCCUGGUAGUCCACGCCCUAAACGAUGUCAACUGGUUGUUGGGAAGGUUCCUUCUCAGUAACGUAGCUAACGCGUGAAGUUGACCGCCUGGGGAGCACGGCCGCAAGGUUGAAACUUAAAGGAAUUGACGGGGUCAUAGCUGUUUCCUG
rnacentral:rRNA from 1 species